rnacentral:rRNA from 1 species
UACUCGAGUGGCGAACGGGUGAGUAACACGUGGGUGAUCUGCCCUGCACUCUGGGAUAAGCCUGGGAAACCGGGUCUAAUACCGGAUAGGACCAUGCUUUAGUGUGUGUGGUGGAAAGUUUUUUCGGUGUAGGAUGAGCCCGCGGCCUAUCAGCUUGUUGGUGGGGUAAUGGCCUACCAAGGCGGCGACGGGUAGCCGGACUGAGAGGUUGGUCGGCCACAUUGGGACUGAGAUACGGCCCAG